AACGCACAUUGCGCCUUUUGGUAUUCCGAGAGGCAUACCUGUUCGAGCGCCGUUUUACAAUUCAAGCUCUAAGCUUGGUGUUGAAUGGUAUCUCCAAUCAGAUUCAUUCGAAACUCAUUGGCACUUGUCUAUCUAGUCCACAAUGUGACAGAAAUCUCUCAUUGUAAACUGUAAGACCGGUUGCCGGUACUUUCUGAACUGAUGGCCUCGGAUCAGGUAAGGUUACCCGCUGAACUUAA
rnacentral:misc_RNA from 1 species